UUCCUAGCUGUCAUUAGAUAUUUUUUUCCUUCCAUUUUAGUGUGAUUCUUACGGUGAGAAGGGAAAUAUUCUUACGGUGAACUCUGCAGCCAUUGGAUUUCCCUCAGCUCCAUCAGCCAAGUACAAGUGGACCAUUCUGGAGACGAGCAUUACCAGCAUCAAUGAGAAAAUCCAAACAUUUACCCUUCACGCGUAUAAAAUACUCUAUACAAACAAAUGCCCAGACCUGAAGCUAAACUUCCCCAGCUGAAUAUUUUACCAAUCUGAUGCCAAUAGCUUCGCUUCUCUCUUUGAAUUUCCAGAUUCAAGUGUCUCUGUUGAUCUUUU
rnacentral:lncRNA from 1 species